GAUGAACGCUGGCGGCGUGCCUAAUACAUGCAAGUCGAGCGAACGGACGAGAAGCUUGCUUCUCUGAUGUUAGCGGCGGACGGGUGAGUAACACGUGGAUAACCUACCUAUAAGACUGGGAUAACUUCGGGAAACCGGAGCUAAUACCGGAUAAUAUUUUGAACCGCAUGGUUCAAAAGUGAAAGACGGUCUUGCUGUCACUUAUAGAUGGAUCCGCGCUGCAUUAGCUAGUUGGUAAGGUAACGGCUUACCAAGGCAACGAUGCAUAGCCGACCUGAGAGGGUGAUCGGCCACACUGGAACUGAGACACGGUCCAGACUCCUACGGGAGGCAGCAGUAGGGAAUCUUCCGCAAUGGGCGAAAGCCUGACGGAGCAACGCCGCGUGAGUGAUGAAGGUCUUCGGAUCGUAAAACUCUGUUAUUAGGGAAGAACAUAUGUGUAAGUAACUGUGCACAUCUUGACGGUACCUAAUCAGAAAGCCACGGCUAACUACGUGCCAGCAGCCGCGGUAAUACGUAGGUGGCAAGCGUUAUCCGGAAUUAUUGGGCGUAAAGCGCGCGUAGGCGGUUUUUUAAGUCUGAUGUGAAAGCCCACGGCUCAACCGUGGAGGGUCAUUGGAAACUGGAAAACUUGAGUGCAGAAGAGGAAAGUGGAAUUCCAUGUGUAGCGGUGAAAUGCGCAGAGAUAUGGAGGAGCACCAGUGGCGAAGGCGACUUUCUGGUCUGUAACUGACGCUGAUGUGCGAAAGCGUGGGGAUCAAACAGGAUUAGAUACCCUGGUAGUCCACGCCGUAAACGAUGAGUGCUAAGUGUUAGGGGGUUUCCGCCCCUUAGUGCUGCAGCUAACGCAUUAAGCACUCCGCCUGGGGAGUACGACCGCAAGGUUGAAACUCAAAGGAAUUGACGGGGACCCGCACAAGCGGUGGAGCAUGUGGUUUAAUUCGAAGCAACGCGAAGAACCUUACCAAAUCUUGACAUCCUUUGACAACUCUAGAGAUAGAGCCUUCCCCUUCGGGGGACAAAGUGACAGGUGGUGCAUGGUUGUCGUCAGCUCGUGUCGUGAGAUGUUGGGUUAAGUCCCGCAACGAGCGCAACCCUUAAGCUUAGUUGCCAUCAUUAAGUUGGGCACUCUAAGUUGACUGCCGGUGACAAACCGGAGGAAGGUGGGGAUGACGUCAAAUCAUCAUGCCCCUUAUGAUUUGGGCUACACACGUGCUACAAUGGACAAUACAAAGGGCAGCGAGACCGCGAGGUCAAGCAAAUCCCAUAAAGUUGUUCUCAGUUCGGAUUGUAGUCUGCAACUCGACUACAUGAAGCUGGAAUCGCUAGUAAUCGUAGAUCAGCAUGCUACGGUGAAUAUGUUCCCGGGUCU
rnacentral:rRNA from 1 species